AUUGAACGCUGGCGGCAGGCUUAACACAUGCAAGUCGAGCGAACGGCGUACGUGUGAGUAAUGUCUGGGAAAAUGCCUGGUGGAGGGGGAUAACUGCUGGAAACGGUAGCUAAUAACGCAUACCAUCGGAUGUGCCCGGAUUGGAUUAGCUAGUAGGUGGGGUAACGGCUCACCAAGGCGACGAUCCCUAGCUGGUCUGAGAGGAUGACCAGCCACACUGGAACUGAGACACGGUCCAGACUCCUACGGGAGGCAGCAGUGGGGAAUAUUGCACAAUGGGCGCAAGCCUGAUGCAGCCAUGCCGCGUGUGUGAAGAAGGCCUUCGGGUUGUAAAGCACUUUCAGCGGGGAGGCGUUACUCGCACAAGAAGCACCGGCUAACUCCGUGCCAGCAGCCGCGGUAAUAC
rnacentral:rRNA from 1 species